UACAGAGGUGGCAAGCGUUGUUCGGAAUUACUGGGCGUAAAGGGCGCGUAGGCGGCCUUCUAAGUCAGACGUGAAAUCCCCCGGCUUAACCUGGGAACUGCGUCUGAUACUGGGAGGCUUGAGUAUGGGAGAGGGAUGUAGAAUUCCAGGUGUAGCGGUGAAAUGCGUAGAUAUCUGGAGGAAUACCGGUGGCGAAGGCGGCAUCCUGGACCAUUACCGACGUUCAGGCACGGAAGCGUGGGGAGCAAACAGG
rnacentral:rRNA from 1 species